AGGUCAAGCGCGAGAGUAAGAACUACACAAGGAGUUAGAGUACCUUAGCAAAACUUUGCUAUCAGGUGGGCAAUUUCUUAUGCGUAAAUAAAAUGCUAUGCAAGUGUUAUGCUUUAAAAUGCAAAUUGGAUCUUCAAGUGUGGUAUGCUUUAUUACACUUAAAUGAGUUAAGCUUUAUUAUGUUGCACGUUAAAUGAUUUACGCUAUGCUGUUUAUACUAUUUACGCCCUAUGUAAUUUACGUUUGAUUACGCUUAUUUACGCUUGAAUGCCUUACGCUGAUAAGUUUAUGCUUAUGUUUGAUGCUUGCGUCUGUUGGGGGAGGCCUCCCUCAACAGUACGAUGCCGUGUCCGUUGAGGAGGGCCUUCCUCACGGCGCGAUGCCCGUGUCCGCUGAGAGAGGCCUCUCUCGCGGCGCGAUGCCAGUAUGCCAGUAUGCCUGUGUUACAGCGUCUAUUGGGGGAGGCCUCCCUCAAUAGUACGAUGCCGUGACCGCUGAGGGAGGCUCCCCCUCACGGUGCGAUGCCCGUGUUCGUUGGGGAAGGCCUUCUCCACGACACGAUGUUUGUUAAUGAAGAUUGAUGAUGAAGAAUGCCCUUAUGCUAUUUAUGAAUUUGGAAAUGUUUAAUGAGCAAAGGAUAUGAAAGAAACUCAUGCCUCUUAUGCGAUAUUGUGAAAUUGUUAAUGAUGUUAUGUUAUAUGCUUGGCAACUGCCCACUAAGUACUCUUGUACUUAGCCCUUCGAUGUUUAUGUUUGUGCAGGUUGAGCUGUGAUGGGCGAUGAAGUGUUGCUGAGUGGAGUUUUUGUUGAACUUAAAGUAGGCUCAGAAAGGAUACAUGUCUUCAUACAUGUAUCUCAGUUAUGCAUUCCGCUGUAAACACUGAUUAUUUCAGUUACACCUUCCGUUGCAAACUCUGAUAAUGUUUUAGCCAAGCCCCUAACGAUGCCUUUUUCCUUUUAAGGAAUAUAACGCUUAUACAAGUUCGUUGAGUACCCUUUUUAUGCGAACUAUGCCUUUUUCCUUUUUAAUGAAUAUUUCACGCGUAUUCAAGCUCUUUGAGUAUUCUUUUAUGCGCCCCUUUCUAAACCCGCUUCGUAAUUUCCCUUCCCCAGUCAUGGUUU
rnacentral:lncRNA from 1 species